CAAACCAGCCUAGCAAACGGUCCUGCACGUGCGAGUCGCGUCAGGGGAAAGAGGGAAUGCAGUGCGGUGGCCCCGGCCGCCAAUCCUGCAGCUGCCCCCGCAACUGUGAGCGGUGAGCGAGGCCGACGGUGCCACUGGAGAGAUCCGGGAAGGCCGGCCGAGCGUCGAUCCGCAAGCCAGGAGACCUGCCGCUUGCAUGCCCUUCGG
rnacentral:ncRNA from 2 species